rnacentral:rRNA from 1 species
GCUAUAAUGCAGUCGAGCGAAUGGAUUAAGAGCUUGCUCUUAUGAAGUUAGCGGCGGACGGGUGAGUAACACGUGGGUAACCUGCCCAUAAGACUGGGAUAACUCCGGGAAACCGGGGCUAAUACCGGAUAACAUUUUGAACUGCAUGGUUCGAAAUUGAAAGGCGGCUUCGGCUGUCACUUAUGGAUGGACCCGCGUCGCAUUAGCUAGUUGGUGAGGUAACGGCUCACCAAGGCAACGAUGCGUAGCCGACCUGAGAGGGUGAUCGGCCACACUGGGACUGAGACACGGCCCAGACUCCUACGGGAGGCAGCAGUAGGGAAUCUUCCGCAAUGGACGAAAGUCUGACGGAGCAACGCCGCGUGAGUGAUGAAGGCUUUCGGGUCGUAAAACUCUGUUGUUAGGGAAGAACAAGUGCUAGUUGAAUAAGCUGGCACCUUGACGGUACCUAACCAGAAAGCCACGGCUAACUACGUGCCAGCAGCCGCGGUAAUACGUAGGUGGCAAGCGUUAUCCGGAAUUAUUGGGCGUAAAGCGCGCGCAGGUGGUUUCUUAAGUCUGAUGUGAAAGCCCACGGCUCAACCGUGGAGGGUCAUUGGAAACUGGGAGACUUGAGUGCAGAAGAGGAAAGUGGAAUUCCAUGUGUAGCGGUGAAAUGCGUAGAGAUAUG